rnacentral:tRNA from 1 species
CCGACCUUAGCUCAGUUGGCAGAGCGGAGUACUGUAGUCGUUCAGAUAAAUCCUUAGGUCGCUGGUUCGAAUCCGGCAGGUCGGA